ACGUGAUUGUAGCAUUAGAGCGUAUAUUAUUACACAUAGUCAUGUCAUACAGGUCACAUUAGGUGACUCCGACUCUUGUGCUAGCAUAGAUUGAUGAGCAAUAGGUUCAGUUGUACAGGUCGCAUUAGGCGACUCCGACUAAUGUGCUAGCAUAGGUUGUUGAGCACCUAAUUUUACUUAUAUUACUGUGGAGAUUUUGUGAUUUUGGGAUAUCAUGCCUUAUUUAUGUUAUGCAGACUACGGUAAGUAUUUUCAUACUAUAUGUAGUAUGUAUAUUUUGGAAACUAUACAUGUUUUAUGGCUAGGGGUUAUAACGUUUUCAAAAGGUUUUUAAUUAAAACUUUAUUUUCAGGCCCACUCACCCUUAUUUUUCGCUCCUCCAGGUUUUAGUAGAUGAGCUUUCAUAUCGACGAGGAUUCUUGACAAAUCUUGGGGUAGACAGUUAUCUUCAAUGGUAUAAUUUCUCACCAUAUUUUACUGCACUGUACUUAUGCUCUGUCAUCACAUGUGAAUUGGGCUCAUUCUCGCUCACAGCGCACUCUUGUAUUUAGGCACUUUUAGGUUUAAAUUUAUUCAUAUUUUCCCACAUCACUACACUUUAUGGCUUCGUCACCUUCCAGGUGUCGGCCAACAUAGCUUAAUUCGAAGUCCUAGUGGACAUUCUGGGUCGGAGUGUGUCACAAUGAAUUUAUAACAUUAAUGUUUUUUUAGUAAAAUCAUUAAUUCUCCCUUAUAAUUCGCAUGACAUUAAUUGUGUACAUCAAGCAUUCAAAUAUGGGUAUUUUAGGCAUCCAUAAAAUUUUAAAUGUGUUAAGUCAAACAUAAUUAAUGAAUUUGCUGAUGUGGAAUAUAGUAAAUGGGUUUUAUUCGAUAAAAAACUUAUGUUGGCCUUUAUGUGGAGAAAAUUAAGUUUUAAGGGUUAAAGUUAUAUUUUUAGUAAAUUAUUUAGAUAAGUGUAAAGGAUCAACGGCGUUAUCUUCUACAUUCAAAAUAAAAGUUCUCUUCUUGACUUUUUAACUUUUAAAUAAAAUUAAACAAUAAGUUUGACUUUUGGUGCGGUCCAUAAUACUAAGGACCGAAUACUAAUUUUUCCUUUAUUAGUCCAUUAGGUAGGAUUGUGUGAAAUUUGUGACAAGAAAGGGUAAGAAUUUAUGCUUUUGAAGCUACCUAAAAUAAGGGCGUCAUAUAUGCCUAUCAUCAAUAUAUUUUAUCCAUAAAUACGGCGAAUACAAGAUUCACACUUAUGAAGAAGGGUAAUGCUACCCUUAGAAGAAUUUGACUUCUAGUGCUUGCAAAAAUAUAUAUGAAGAUAAAAAAAAAAAACUGAAAAUAUAACUUUAACCUGGAACUCAAUUUUCUCCAUAUAAAACCCGACGUAAAUUUUUUGCUCAAAUAAAACCCAUUGACUAGACUCUACAUAAGCAAAUUCAUUAAUUAUGUUUGACUUUACCCAUUUAAAUAUUUUUUGAUGCCUAAAACACCCUUAUUGAAUGUUUAAUGUACACAAUUAAUUCUAUGCAAAUUGUAAUAGAGAAUUAAUGAUUUUACAAAAAUAAUUUUUUGCAUAUAAAUGUAGGGAUUUGUUGGUUAGUUUGGCUCUCGAAUUCCAAUUUACCAUUACAACGUGGCCACAUUAUAUAUAGGUAAAUUAUUGUACUUUAAAAUAUAUAAAAAAAUUGUUGUCAAAGUAAAAAUAUAUAAAUUAAAGGAGAUAAAAAUUGCAGGUAAAUUAAUUUUAGGACAAAGAAAAAGUUAAGAACCAACUAUAGGUAAAUUAUUUACAUAUACAGUCUAGAUAUUUGAUUCACAUAAAAAAUGUAGGUAAAUUACGUGUGCAUAAUUUAACUACUAUUAUUGAAAUUUACCUACUAUUAUAUUAAUUUACCCACUUGCAUAAUUUAGGAAAAAUGCCAACAAAACAUGAGAAUAUUAUUUGCAUAUAUCAUAGGUAAAUUGCCAAAAGAAAUAUGAGAAUAUUUUGUUUAUAUACUGUAGGUAAAUUAUAGACUAUAGGGCGAUAUUAUUUAUAUAGGUAAAGUAGGGACGUUUGACUAUUAUAUAUAAAGAGAAUAAUUACACCAAAUAAUAAUGUAGUCAUUAUUUAAGGUAAUGCACUAGAUUGUUGUAGAAAUUAAAAAUAAAUAAAUAGAAAAAACGUCAGGAUGAUUAAUUAGAUUUUAAGGCCCUUGAUUGAAGCUAAUUUUCAAGUGUGGGUUGUGGCAAAAAUUGUAAAUAAUUUGUAUUAGUAGGUUACUUAUAUUCUUAUGUGGUAGUUUAUUUGACUGUUGGGUUAUUGUUGGAUGUUUAAUUACAUAUGAGUUUAUGUUUAGAAAUCAUGAUUUUCCAGGACCAAUAUCUAAUGAACCCACAAAAAAAAAAUUACAAAUGUUGCAAGACAAUGCUAAAAGAUACGUGACGUAUGAAAAGA
rnacentral:lncRNA from 1 species